rnacentral:rRNA from 1 species
AGCGAACGCUGGCGGCAGGCUUAACACAUGCAAGUCGAACGGGCGUAGCAAUACGUCAGUGGCAGACGGGUGAGUAACGCGUGGGAACGUACCUUUUGGUUCGGAACAACACAGGGAAACUUGUGCUAAUACCGGAUAAGCCCUUACGGGGAAAGAUUUAUCGCCAAAAGAUCGGCCCGCGUCUGAUUAGCUAGUUGGUGAGGUAACGGCUCACCAAGGCGACGAUCAGUAGCUGGCUGAGAGGAUGAUCAGCCACAUUGGGACUGAGACACGGCCCAAACUCCUACGGGAGGCAGCAGUGGGGAAUAUUGGACAAUGGGCGAAAGCCUGAUCCAGCCAUGCCGCGUGAGUGAUGAAGGCCCUAGGGUUGUAAAGCUCUUUUGUGCGGGAAGAU